ensembl:lncRNA
ACGCCAGAGCCACAGCAACGCAGGAUCCGAGCCGCAUCUGCAACCUACACCACAGCUCACGGCAACGCCGGAUCGUUAACCCACUGAGCAAGGCCAGGGACCGAACCCGCAACCUCAUGGUUCCUAGUCAGAUUCGUUAACCACUGCGCCACGACGGGAACUCCACCAAUGAUUUUUAAAAAGGGAAUUGGGGGUUAAUAGAUGCAAACUAUUGCCUUUGGAAGGGAUAAGCAAUGAGAUCCUGCUGUGUAGCACUGGGAACCAUGUCUAGUCACUUAUGAUGGAGCAUGAUAAUGUGAGGAAAAAGAAUGUGUACAUGUAUGUGUCACUGGGUCACCCUGCUGUACAGUAGAAAACUGAUAGAACACUGCAAACCAACUAUAAUGGAUAAAAUACCUAUCAUUAUAAAUGAAAAAAUAUACACUUUUAAAAACUACAAAGGCAAAUUUAAGGAGAUGGUUUAGCAAUUCUAAGAUGAGUGCAAAUUCUUAUAAAGUAUGUUUUCUUUUUUAAUUGUAUUUUUAGCAAUUUUUGAACGUAGCUAAAAUAGAAUGUUCUUUCUCCAAGGAACAACAAAUUAAAAACUACUUAUUUAACGUUUUUGGUUACCCAACAUUUAAAAGUACUGCUCAGUAUAGACGGUCAGGCAGUUAAAAAGUUAAGAGUUACAACUUUUAAAUAAGGUUAAAAGUUUUAGACACCUCAGUUGCAAAAAGCAAAAGGAGCAUCCAGCUCUUGGUUUCUAAGAACAUUCUCUGAUAAAAGAAGCCAGGGCUCACUGCAGAAAUGGUGGAAUACAAGAGAAGCCUGGAGCAUUUUUGAGGUAUAUAUGAUAAGCCUGGAGCAUUCUGAGAUGCCAGAAAGGAAAGAAGUGCUAAAAACAAACAAACCAAACUCCACAAAGGUGGGGACACCUCAAAGGGACACAAGAGGAGUCAACUGAGAGCGCUCCCCAUGACAAAACCUGGAAUGCUCGGAGCAACAGCAUAAACGAAACCAUACUGAAUUACAAGCCAAAGUGUGAAAUAAAUAUCCAAAUCCAUAUAUCAGAAAAUAAAUAAAUUAUUUAAGGGAGAAGAGACCAUAUUCCUAUUGAGGAGAAUCCCAAACAAUUUAUAUAAAUACUCCUCCUGCAAGGCAGUAGCCAUGACCCCCCGACUCCUUAAGCAUGAACGGCACAUCAGUGACUUCCUUUCAAAGAGGACAAAACGGAAGGAGGGAAGAGGUAACCCUGCGGUGGAGAAGCUCCACCAACACUACCCGCAGCCGGAUGAUCAAGGGCAGUAUCAUCAGGACGUCAUUUCAUUUUUCUAGGGAAGCCGUACAGAUGGCCAACGGGCACAUGAAAAGAUGGUCAACACCACUAAUUAUCAGGGAAAUGCAAAUCCAAACCACAAGGAGGUACCAUCUCAUGCCAAUUGGAAUGACUAUUAUCAAAAAGGCAAGAAAUAGAAGGUGUUGACAAGGGCGUAGAGAAAGGGGGCCCCUCAUGCACAGUUGGUAGGACUAUAAACUGAUGCCACCACCAUGGAGUGUGGAGAUUCUUCAAAAAAUUAAGAAACUGAACUACACAUAAUCCAGCCAUUGCACUUCUGGGUAUUAUUCAAAGGGUACAAAAACACUCAUUCCAAAAAAUAUAUGCACCCCUAUGUUUGUUGCAGCAUUAUUUACAAUUGCCAAGAUAUGGGACAACCUAAGUGCCUAUCAACAGAUGAAUGGAUCAAAAUGAUUUGAGAUAUAUAUGUAUGUGUGUGCAUGUGUGUAUAAUGAAAUACUCCUCAGUUAUUUAAAAAAUAUGAAAUCUUGCUGUCUGCAACAACAUGGAUGGACCAUGGAGAAAGGCAGAUACCAAAUGAUUUCAAUCACAGGUGGAAGACAGAUAGACAGAUAGACAUACAUACAUUCAAACAAACACACAUAGAUAAGCAAGCAAGCAAACCAAAUCAGACAAAACCAAACACACAGAUACAGAGGGUAAGAAGUUGGGGUCGGGGGUGGGGGGCUCGAGUGAAAUGAGUAAAGGGGGUCAGCUGUACGGCGACAGAUGGAAACAAAGCUUGGCGGUGAGCCACGUGUUAGGGUAUACAGAGGUCGAAAUAUAAUGCUGUAUACGAGUAACUUACAAUGUCAGAAACCAAUGGUACAGCACUAAAUGAAACAAAAACAAAAACAAUGUCAUGUUGAAGAUAGAUGCCCCUGAAAUGAUCGAAUGCAAAUGGCACUUUGGCUCCGUGGUCUUCCUCUCCAAAACCCAACACUCCACGCGCGAAUCCUAACUCAGGCAAAUCGUACUUUCUUUCCGCGUAAGGGGCAUUCUAUAAAAAUCUGACCAGUACUUCUCAAAACGGUCAAGAUUAUCGAAAACAAAAUCUGAGAACCUGUCGCAGAGGCGCCUAAGGCAAUGGAUGAUAAAGGGUAACGAGGUGUCCUGUGUGGGAUCCUGGUACAGACAAAGAGUGUUAGGUAUAAACCGAGGAGAUCCGAACAAAGUAUGCACGUCAGUUAAUCGCAGUGCACCCACUAUCGGUCCAUUGAUUCUAACGAUGGUACCGCAGUAUGAUGUAAAGUAUUAAUGACAAGAAAAACUGUGUGGAAGAUGCGGAAAUCCGGUACUAGCUUCACGAUUUUGCAGUAAAUCCAAACUGUUCUAAAAUUAAGUUUAUUUUGAGAGUUCCUGUCGUGGCGCAGUGGUUAACGAAUCCAACGAGGAACCAUAAGGUUGCGGGUUCGAUCCCUGGUCUUGCUCAGUGGGUUGAGGAUCCAAUGUUGCCGUGAGCUAUGGUGUAGGCUGUAGACACGGCUCAGAUCUUGCGUUACGGUGGCUCUGGCGUAGGCCGGUGGCGACAGCUCCAAUUAGACCCCUAGCCUGGGAAUCUCCAUAUGCCUCGGGAGUGGCCGUAGAAAAGGCAAAAAAGACUAAAUAGAUAAAUAAAAUUAAAAGUCUCUUUUAAAAAAAUUUAUUUUGAAAAUGUAUACUAUCUUUUCAAGGCUAAAUCAUAUACCAUUUUUGGGUGUUUUUACAAUUUUUUUUGACACUGCAAUUGUGGUGAAGAAUGUGAACUAGGAUCAUGGAUUGGGCUCCCGCUCAACUGUCUGCAUCGAUUUUUAUUAGCUCUGUGCCCGCCCUGCACACAGCAUAGAGCUAACUCUAGGGCCCAGCCUGACUUCAGUUGUAUUCAGCAUAAUCUCUGCUUUCUCAGCAAGAGAGAAAAUAAGAUAAGUAAGGCCUGACCAGCCAUGACCUUCUUACCACAAGGCAGCCAUGUGUAGUCACGACCAGGCCAGUGUGUUGCUCCGAAUAACACUGGGAAUAAGCAGGUGGCAACCUUGUCCCCAUUCACAGUCAAGGCAGGUUCUGUUUCCCAAGAACAGAUGUAACCAGCAAAGUGAUUAAUGCCUCUGAGCAACGUGCAGGACUGAUUUUAGGAACUUCAGCAAUUUCGCAUGAUAUGGACACUACCUGUUUACUUCUAUUAUUCAGAUGAGGUUAAUGAAAUCCUAUUCUUCCUUCCUCAAGCAAAGCUUAUCAUAAGAAAAAGGAGCAAAACGGAUGUGUUGAAAAUAUCAGAAGAUAAUUUAAUAUAAAAAUGGCCAGGGUUUAUAAUGUUUUUUAAACAAAAUGUAUUUGUAAGGUUUACAACUUCUUUCCUACCAAUGAAAGCUUCUCAAAUAAAUAUUCAUGCAGCAAUUGUAUGGGCUUUCGCCAGCUAAGAUAGUCAUUAAAGGCUUGUCAUUUUGUUCCAACAAUGUCUCUGGUGCUUCUAAAUUAUUAGACCUUAGUCUACUGCUUUCCUUUUAUUACAGUCUAAUGCUAUAACAGUAACAUGAAGAAAGAAGUCAUCAGGAGUUCCCAUUGUGGCUCCAGCAGUAACAAAUCUGACCAGUGUCCAUGAGGAUGUGGGUUCAAUCCCUGGCCUCGUUCAUGGGGGUUAAGGAUCUGGUGUUGCCAUGACCUGUGAUGUAGGUCACAGAUGCAGCUCAGAUCUUGAGAUGCUGAGGCUGUGGUAUAUGCUGGCAGCUGCAGCUCUGAUUUGACCCCUAGCCUGGAAACUUCCGUAUGCUGCAGGUGUGGCCCUAAAAAGGAGAAAAAUAAAUAAAAGAAAAGAAGAAGAAGAGCACAUCUGAUUGGCUGGCUUAAGAUGUAUAUUCACUAGGGAUCUUGAAUGACAAUUAGAUGAAGCCUUUAUCCAAAGGUGGAGGAGAAGUGAGCCAAAGCUAACAUGGGGCUGCUGUUCCUAGAAGCGGGAGGUUUGGACACAUGCCUGCCUGCACUGAGAGGUCCACUGUGGUGAAGAUGGAGCAGAGGACGGGAAAAACCAACCAAUCUCCAAACAGUAUAGGAGGCAUUUUGCUUUUCACAUAUCUGAUUCAGUUCUCCCAACUACCAUGUGAGGUGGGUAUUAGCAGCCUCUUUUUACUAACGCUGAAGCUGAAGUUCACAGAGUUUAAGGGAGUUAGCUGCAGCCACAUGGGAUCAAACCUGGGUUUUGCCAUUCUCUUCAACCGUCAAUGGAAACAGAACUUUCUUAUCAAAGUGUCAAGGUGUGAAAUAUUAAACCCACGCACAAAAUCAUUUUGAAAACGAUUCCUGACUGAUAAAUAUGUCUUACCCUCAUAUUCUCCAGCUUCUUUUCACAUAAUAUAUUCAGAAUCCUUUUCAUUCAAUAAAAAUACAUUAUUUGCUUAUAUAUAAACCUGUAACUUCCACGGCUAGUAACAGAAUAUGGUGAUACCAAGGUAACAAACACAAUUCUUAGAGACAAGUUAAUGAAUUAGUUCAUUUCUACAUGCUCAGAAUGCCCCCUAAUUUUUGGGGGGGUCACACCUGCAACACGUGGAAAUUCCCAGGCCAGGGGUCAAACCCAGAUCACUGUGUCAACCUGAGCCGCUGCAGUAACAACACCAGAUCCUGAACCCACUGCAUCACAAGGGGAGUCCUCCUCUAAAUUUCUAUCAGGGCACAUGUUUGAUACUGGUAACAAGAGAAACCAGGUGAGAAGAUGGACACAUAAGGAAAACUCACUAAUCUCUAAUGGCAAACAGUCAGCCCUACUAAUAGGGGUCAGAAGCAGGAGCACUUUUUAAACCAGUGCAAGCCCAGCAUUUUUGCACUACGGAGAAAAUGCAGGUCCAUCUCCAGAUCAGCUUAAGCACACACAUUGCAAUUCAGCUGAUUAUUUGGGCCACACUCUACCUGUAACCUAAGCAGAUGGUAUAUAUGUUUCACGUGAAAUAUUUAAUGAGGCCAUCAGAAAGGGGGUGGUACCGGGGUCCUGGCCUACAGACCUUGGUAAAAGAGAAGGUGUCAGCAAAAUGAUGACGGCAACGUUCAGACGAAACCCAGAAGUGGAGUCUGCUGACAAAACUAUCACCGGCUCUCACUUAGCCACACUGCCAGCCAAGAAACGUCAGCCUACACCCAGUCAUCUCUUUCACGUCACUCACUUUCAGGCCCUCUAGGUUUAUUAAAAAUGAUUUUUAAAUGAUUUAUACUGAUACAUACAUAGGGAAAAUUCUGGAAAUACGAACUUCAAAAUAUUAAUGUUGUUAUUUCUAGAUGGUGAGCUUUUGGGUCAUUUUUAUUUCAUGGUUUCGGGGUUUUUUUUGGUCUUUUUAGAGCUGCACCCAUGGCAUAUGGAAGUUCCCAGGCUAGGGGUCGAACUGGAGCUGCAGCUGCUGGCCUACACCACAGACACAGCAGUGCCAGAUCCGAGCUGCAUCUGAGACCUACACCACAGAUCAUGGCAACACUGUAUCCAUAACCCACUGAGUGGGGCCAGGGAUCGAACCCACAACCUCACAGAUACUAGUUGGGUUUGCUUCUGCUGAGCCACAACAGGAACUCCUAUUUUAUGUUUCUAAUCAGUAUCUUCAGCAAUGUACUUUUAUUAUUUGAAGUAUUUUAAUUAAAAAAAAAUCAAUGACUUUUACAAAUCUUUUUAUAUACUACAUAUUUUGGCAGAAUGACUUUUCUAGAAGCUCUGAUAGAAUACUGAAAACCACACCGAGAGAGAAAAUGUCUUGAAGCACAGAUAAACAGGAAAGGCGCUGAGCGAAUUACUGUCUCCGGUAUUUACAGAAGUCAUGUUCCUAAUAUCCACUCAGGUCAGAGAAAGGUAAACUCUGUUCUGACCUUUUACCAUGUGAAGGAGUGAGCACCACUUUCUCCCACUUUCAGCGAAACUGCGAUUCAAGUCAACACCGUCCUUUCAGAGUUAUGUGAGAAACUUCUAUUUUGUUUUUGAACUGCUGAGACACAAGCUACAGUUCAGAUUCUCAGGGUUUUGCACUAGCAAACAUGAUAUUAUUUCAGCAAAAUACAAUUUUUGAAACUUUUUCAGUUAGUAAAUUAACAAUUUCGUUUUUAGUUCAAAAAAAAAAAAAAAAGAAAGAAACCCUGAAACACUGCUUCAUAAAUUCAUUUUUUUCUUACAAAUAAAAAAAAAAAAACUUGUUUUUUCUCCUUUACAUUUAAGUAAUUUUGCAUUUUUUAUAUUUGACCUCCCCAGUUGGCCUAUGAAGCCCCUUCCUUUUUUGUGGAGUGUGUGGUCAUUUUAGGGCUGCACCUGCAGCAAAGGAAGGUCCUUUGGGAGGGGUCCAAUCAGAGCUGUAGCUGCUGGCCACACCACAGCCAUAGUAACGCCAGAUCUGAGCCACAUCUAUGACCUACAGCUCAUGGCAACGCCAGAUCCUUAACCCACUGAGCAGGGCCAGGGAUUGAAUCUGCGUCCUCAUGGAUACUGGUCAAGUUCUUAACCUGCUGAGCUACAACGGGAACUCCCUAUGAUGCCUUCUAAUACCUCAGUGCUAUGUUCUUCCAGCCCAGUCAGAGGACUCCUCUUCCUGCAAAUUCCAAGCUGGGCCUCGACCUGCCUGCAAAUUCUGCUGGAACAAGGUCAACUUCUUCCCCUUUUCCUCAGGGGCAUUUCCAAAGAUGCCCCUCCCCUGCCCCUUUCUCAAUUCCUUCAACCCAUCACCUCUCUUCAAACCAUCAAGAUGAGAAGCAUUAAAUCUGCACAAGUCUCAGAAAUUUAAGUCUCCCUUGAAAACAACAGUUCUUGAUAACGAAGACUUCUUGCCUUCAUAUAUCUAAUAAAACACAGUCAAAAUCCUUUUUCACAACAAAGGCAUAAUACUCACAUAUAAACCUACAGUCUCCAUGGCUAGUGAUAUACUAUGUUGAGAUCUAGAUAACAAAUCUGACCUACUCACCCCUCAACCGCUUUACGAAAGGAAAGAAGAGCUGGAAACUCAGAACGCCCUCAGUUCCUUCCCUUUUUUCCGGAGUGAGUCCCUCUGAUUCUGGGCCUGUUUCCCUCUUACUGGUAAUUCAGUUAAAGUCAUUCAAUAACCGUUCAUUGAGCACUGAGCCAGAUGUGUUUAAGGUGCUGGGGAGUUUUCAGAACAACAACGAGAGGCCCCUGUCUCCACAGAGCCAAGGGUCUGCGCUACCUCAGUUAUCCUCCCCUCUCCCUCCCUCCCAGGAAUCUGCAGGAAUCAGCUAGAGAUCCCAAAACAAAGGACCAGAGACUGGCUGGAUUAAACGGGAAUUGAUGUUCUCAUAGUUCUGGAGGCUGGACGUCUGAGCUCAAGGCGUUUGCAGGGUUGAUUUCUCCUGAGGCCUCUCCACAUGGCUUGCACAAGGCCAUCUCCUCACAGUGGCCUCACGGUGGCCCUCUGCGUGUGCCCAUGGCCAGGACUGCUCCCUCUUCUAUAAGAACACCAUUCGGGAGUUCCCGUCGUG